rnacentral:rRNA from 1 species
CAGUCGAGCGGUAUAUACUUUAGCAAUCUUCGGAAGAGCGACGGUAUAGAGAGCGGCGGACGGGUGAGUAACGCGUAGGCAACCUGCCCCAUACAGAGGGAUAGCCUCGGGAAACCGGGAUUAAAACCUCAUAACGCGAGAUGUUCACAUGGACAUUUCGCCAAAGAUUUAUCGGUAUGGGAUGGGCCUGCGUCUGAUUAGCUAGUUGGUGGGGUAACGGCCUACCAAGGCGACGAUCAGUAGCCGACCUGAGAGGGUAAUCGGCCACAUUGGAACUGAGACACGGUCCAAACUCCUACGGGAGGCAGCAGUGGGGAAUAUUGCACAAUGGGCGAAAGCCUGAUGCAGCAACGCCGCGUGAGCGAUGAAGGCCUUUGGGUCGUAAAGCUCUGUCCUUGGGAAAGAAAAAAAUGACGGUACCCUUGGAGGAAGCCCCGGCUAACUACGUGCCAGCAGCCGCGGUAAUACGUAGGGGGCAAGCGUUAUCCGGAAUUAUUGGGCGUAAAGAGUGCGUAGGUGGUUUUGUAAGCGCGGGGUGAAAGGCAAUAGCUCAACUAUUGUAAGCCUUGCGAACUGUAAGACUUGAGUGCAGGAGAGGAAAGUGGAAUUCCUAGUGUAGCGGUGAAAUGCGUAGAUAUUAGGAGGAACACCAGUGGCGAAGGCGACUUUCUGGACUGUAACUGACACUGAGGCACGAAAGCGUGGGGAGCAAACAGGGUUAGAUACCCUGGUAGUCCACGCCGUAAACGAUGAGCACUAGGUGUCGGGGCCGCAAGGUUUCGGUGCCGCAGUUAACGCAUUAAGUGCUCCGCCUGGGGAGUACGCACGCAAGUGUGAGACUCAAAGGAAUUGACGGGGACCCGCACAAGCAGCGGAGCAUGUGGUUUAAUUCGAAAGCACGCGAAGAACCUUACCAGGACUUGACAUCCCUCUGACCGGCGCUUAACCGUGCCUUCCCUUCGGGGCAGAGGUGACAGGGGGUGCAUGGUUGUCCUCAGCUCGUGUCCUGAGAUGUUGGGUUAAGUCCCGCAACCAG